rnacentral:tRNA from 1 species
GGGCCCAUAGCUCAGUCGGUUAGAGCACCUGACUCAUAAUCAGGGCGUCCAAGGUUCAAGUCCUUGUGGGCCCACCA